rnacentral:lncRNA from 1 species
AUGCACCUCCUGACCCGCCGCCGGGAGCCUCUGCCGUGCGGGGAAGCGGGUCCCAGGCGUGCUCCAGCUGCGACGUUCCGAGCAGCGACUAUUUCGGGAGCAUCUGGGUGUUUCCAGGUCCCCCGGCUCUCGAGCAGCUGCUCAAUGAACUGGAAGAUUUUCUGAGGAUCCUGGACAAGGAGAACUUGAGCAGCACCGCUCUUGUGAAGAAGAGCUUCCUCUCCGACCUGCUGCGGGUGUACACCAAGACCAGCGGUACGGGCAGGGAAAGCUGAAGAUGGGGUGGUGGGCUCACGUGGGAACCCCUAUGGGGUCCUGAAGCACCGUUUUCUUGGAGGUUGGCAGGGAAGGGAGACGAGAAAAUUAAAAGGAGAAAAUGAAACAUUAUUUUUUCAGUGACCUCUAAUUGUUUAUGUAAAAUUACUCUGGUUAUAUGUCCAGCUUUACAAGCAAAGGAUUCCCAAGAUUCCUGAUCCUUUCUGUUUUCCUUAUUAAACCUUAAGUUUAUUUAAUCCACUUUGUAAGAUACACAGGAUGUACUGUUUGGCUGAGUUAGUGUUUAAGUAGAAAUUUUAACUUAUGGAAUUUCCUGGCUAUACAGCAUUUAUUUUUUCUGCUUUUUAUUAUUGGUUUUCUUUUUUUUUUUUUUUUUCUGCACAUUGCCUCAACAAACAUGCUGUCCCCCACGUGCACUCAGCAAAGCCACUUCUUACAUCCGUCUU